rnacentral:lncRNA from 1 species
AGUGCUAGGAAGAGAUGGCCCACCCUAACGGGUCACAGUGGACAAACCCCUUUUAUAUAUCUGCUUGGGAAAAUCCCCCUAGGACAAAACUAAAUUACCACCAGGAACAACAGGAGGAUAUAGAAGACUCUCUAAUAGAAGGAGGAGGAGAAGAUAGAAAACUCACCACGUCAAUAGAGCUGUUCUUACCUGGGAGUUUAAAAGCAAAAAAAAAAUCUUCAAUCCCCUUCAAAGUUGUUCAGUACACACCAAAAGAAAAAACCAAGAUUCCCACUCAAGUGUCUGAGGUCUGAGAGAAGCUGAUGGAUCCGGUACAUGCCAAAAGAAAAAACCAAGAUUCCCACUCAAGUGUCUGAGGUCUGAGAGAAACUAAUGGAUCCAAAUAGUCAAAUGCCUGCCACCUGUCAAUAAAUCCUGAAAAUUACUCGUUGUCAGAUCCACUUUCUUGCACCUAAGAAGACUUUGCUCGUCACCUAGCUUGCAUGCUUGUGCACGGCCACCUUGGAUGGACAGUUGACUGGAAUCAUCCUCUUUCAAAAAACAGAGGGAGGGGUUCAUGCACCAUACACCAUGAUGAGACAUCAGAGUAAGAUUUUAUUGGUGGCUUUAUCAUUUGUGGUGGUUUGUUUGUUGAGAAUGAGACUGAAUGGAUUGAUUUCCUUUCUAUUGUUACAUGCCUUUAGGGUUUUUCCUUUUGUUGGAUUGAGAAGAUGAGGUUGGUCUAGGUAGACAUGAGAAAGUAGGGCAGAUUGAUUCCACAGUCUGGCCUUAAAAGUGAAAGGGGGCUGGGAUUAGUGAGAAAGGGCAAGCAGACCAAUUUGCUUUGUGAUGCGGCCUUUCAUGCCCCUCCCUCAACACCUAUUUGCUUCCCUUCCCCUCCCCACCUCCCCAUUCCUGGCUCCACCAUCAGGGAAAAAUCAAGAAAGAGUCAUCCUUGGAAGAGGUUGAAGUGAAGUGGCUUAGCUGGAAGUGAUGGGCUCCAGCUGUACCAAGCUAGGGGAGCAGGGCCAGAAAUAUGAGUCCCUGAAAAGGUGGUUGGCCUGUGUCACUGAGGACAACUUCUCUUUGUCAUCGGAAGAGGGAGAGAGGGAAGAAGAGCUUCCAAAACUCCAAGGAAAGCUUCUUCUGAUGGAGGAAGAGUCCUCCCCAAAGGAAUGUUAUCCUAUCAAAAAGGAAGAACAGACCUGCCCAAAAGUAUAGACAGCAGCCCAUUUUUCUCAGCCAUAAUCUGACUGACCACCAGAGCCACUGAAGAGAAAGAAAGAAUGGAUUUGUAAUGUAAGAACCAAGAAGAACCCCAUUCUGGAAAAAAAAAAAACACAACAAUAAAAAGGCUUCUCCAAGGAAUUUCAUUUCUCACCCCUCUGGUCCUACUUCUCGGUCUGGUUAGAGAGAGGUCCUUAGGGACUUGGGGAUCAGAAAUGAGCAGGUCAAGAAGAACAUUAAGACAUACCUGAU